CAAGAAAUAGUUUAAUAAAAUAUUAAUUUGGGAGAUUAAAGUUAAGGAGAAUCCUUUUUCUUGA